rnacentral:rRNA from 1 species
GAUGAACGCUGGCGGCGUGCCUAAUACAUGCAAGUCGAGCGAACAGACGAUGAGCUUGCUCCUCUGACGUUAGCGGCGGACGGGUGAGUAACACGUGGAUAACCUACCUAUAAGACUGGGAUAACUUCGGGAAACCGGAGCUAAUACCGGAUAAUAUAUUGAACCGCAUGGUUCAAUAGUGAAAGACGGUUUUGCUGUCACUUAUAGAUGGAUCCGCGCCGCAUUAGCUAGUUGGUAAGGUAACGGCUUACCAAGGCAACGAUGCGUAGCCGACCUGAGAGGGUGAUCGGCCACACUGGAACUGAGACACGGUCCAGACUCCUACGGGAGGCAGCAGUAGGGAAUAUUCCGCAAUGGGCGAAAGCCUGACGGAGCAACGCCGCGUGAGUGAUGAAGGUCUUCGGAUCGUAAAACUCUGUUAUUAGGGAAGAAAAAAUGUGUAAGUAACUAUGCACGUCUUGACGGUACCUAAUCAGAAAGCCACGGCUAACUACGUG